rfam:Achromobacter insuavis AXX-A genomic scaffold scaffold00003, whole genome shotgun sequence.
CUCCAUGGGCGAGCCUUGGCUGGGGCACGUUCGCGUGCGCUGGUUGCCUUUGCUACCGGUCUGUCAACCCGGCCUUGCGCUCGCCCGCCCCG